rnacentral:lncRNA from 1 species
CUAUGAAUCUCUGCUAAGUGUAUAUUGUUGUCUCUCCAAGAAGGCAUGAGUCCGGCAGCGUGCAGUUAUGGGGAUUGCAUAUGUGCACAGCAACUCAUUACCCAUGUCUUUUUUCAAAGAAUUUUCAACUUAAUCUUUGGUUGCCUCAUCUGAAGGAAAGGUCAAAGGAAGGUGCAGAGAAAAUGAAAAGCAUGUAAAAGGUGGAGUGGCUUUUUGCUGCACUGAGGAAUCUUCUGUGCCCUGCUUGUUGUGUAAAGCCUGUCAGAAGGAGGGGGGAAUAAACAAAAGAAUUUUCUUCUCAGCAUGUGCUGGGACCCAGCACUACACAUAAAUGCAUUGUUAGUUGAAAUCAGUGUUUUGGUUUCUCCCUUCCUUUGUGAGAUGCUGUAGAGGAAGCAGAUUAAAGAUUGCCAGCUUUCUGGCAAAAUAUACUGGUGGCAUCAUAAUGACUUCAUUAUGGUCUCUAAAUGAGCUAACAGACUAAUAAUGUGUUCAGGAAAAAAUACACAUUAUGAACAUGCACACAGGUGUAGGGUUAACCCUUUCUUUGGUGCCCCUUGCUUCGAAUCCAGCAUAAACCACAAUUCUGUGCUCUACUAGCUGGGCAGUAAAAGAUUUAAUUCAACAGCUGCGUGCCAACUAAUUGCAGCUGUAUUUUCUUCUGAGUUCAUCUACAAUGCAAAGAACAUGGCAGCUGUUUGUUUGUUUGCUUGCUUGCUUGCCUGGUGGUGGCUGGGAAUGCUGCUGCUAGGUGGUAAUGCCAGCAGAGUGAUUCUCCUCCCUGGGCUUCUGCAACGGAAGCUUGGCUGCGACAAUAGCAGUACGCUAUGCUCACAUUGGUGAGCAGGUUGAAGACACCUCCUUUGAAGAGAGAGACUGCAGAGCCCAGGAGUCUAGUUGGCAUGCUUCAAAAUGGAUGAAACUUCAUAUAUAUCAGGAACAUUACUUUGGUCUUUUUAUCAGUCAAAGCCAUGUCAAAGCCCUCUGCAAUUAUAAAUUUCAGUAAGAUAGUCUGUGAGCCUCUGAUUUACCAUGCUCUGUGCUGUCCUUGCCAAAACUGAUGACUAUAUGCAGAUGUAUGUGUAAGAAAAGACGUCUGGGAUUGGUUUAUAAACAGUAUAUAACGAGCAGUUCUUCUGUAAAACAAGCUAUUGUUUAUGUAUGACUGCAUCACCACUGCGUCUUAUUUUUAGGGUUGCUGUAAGAAGUGGGCAGUUGCCUUCAGCAAGCACAUAAGGAGCUUGGCUGUUUGGUGAAAAAUGGAAAACAGAUAGAAAAGUUUUUUGAUUGAGGGCAAAAUAUAGGCUAUGAGUGGCCAUUAUCCAUAUCUUCUACUCCUCUGAGUCUGCAAGAAAGCAGACGAAGGAGUAAUAAAAACUGUUGAGCUGGCA